AAUAUAUAAAAUAAAAUAAUAUGUAAAAUUAAAUAAGAAAUAUAUCAUUAACCUAUAAAUUAGAAGUUGAAGAGCUUACAUUAAUUAUUUUAAUAGACACAUGGCAAAUGCUAAGUGAUGAUGUGUCAAUCAUACGGAAAGAGUUAGCCAUGAUUAAUAA
rnacentral:sRNA from 1 species